CUUGAAGAGAUGAAGGGAGAUGAUAUCAUUGCUGUGGAAAAAUCUCUGGAGUCAGAGGCCUGGGCACAGCUCUGGACUCUGCGUAUAACACAUCUGCAAUCUGGCAAACUCUUGGCCCAAAGACUCACACCAGGUGGGACGUGGCAGGCAGGCUUGAGGAUGGAGUGUUUUCUAACAGCAGCUGCCUGGGUGAAGCAUCUAUUGGACAUGUUGGGACCACUGGCCCGGGGGACCUGUGAUUGUCUUUCCAGAGACCCUGCUCUCCUCAGGGCGCCACCUUCGAGGCAUAGCCUUUGCUGGGAGGGAGGAGCCCUCUCCGGACACCCUGCCACCGUGGCAGUCCUGCUGCUCUUCCCACAGCCGCCUCUCUGCGGCCCGGCCAGCCAGGCUUCCUAUGCGUUAUACACAGAGUUUGGUCCCAGGCUACCUGUUUCUGACGGACGCUGCCCUCCCUCCACGAUGCCAGAAGUUUUUCCACAGCCUUGGAGAGGGGCUUUGACUGAGGGCUGGGGGCGCCGGGCUCCGUUUCCUUCACAUUCCAGCUGGCCCGGAUCCCUCUGUGGCCACAGGGCCCUGCUCCCCUCACCUUGCCCUCUGGGUGACAUCGGAGCAGACCUCCAUGUGACCACUAGUGUGGGGCUGGGAGAACUUUACAAACAUUAGGACCUAACACUGUCUCAUUGCUGAAAUAAGAGGCCAUAGCACCGAAGAGCAGCGUGGUCACUGGCUGAGGCUUCUCCCAGCCCAUGGGUGGCAGCAUGCUAGCAUGCCUGCCACCAUCUCAAAGCCAUCCCCCCCAGCCAUCAUGAGCAUCCCAGUGGCACCGCCAUUGUCUCAACCAGCCAGCUCCCUGUUCGUACGCCUGGGGAUUUCUUUUUGAUUUCAAGAACAGCCUUAAUCAUUUCAGUUUGAUUUACGUGUAUACCUCAUAAGCAUUUUUCUUUUUUCUUCUUCUCCCCUUCCUCUCUUUUUCUUGGCUCAUCUCCUUGCCCCUCCCCUCCACCACCACAUGUGACUGAUGGUUCCGUGUCCUCUCUGCUCCGCCCCUGCUCAGCACAGGGAGAAUGUUGACUCAGAAGCAAUAGGGGGCAGCAGGCCAUCAAGAGCACAACCCCAGGGCGAGGUCUAGGGAGGCCCCCCAGCCCGCCUCUGUUUACUGUGUAAUCCAGUCCUUCUUAAGCCAUCACCAGUGGCCGUGCUCAGAGCAGAGGGGCCAGGGCUUCUGCCAGCCGAGGGCAGGGCCCAGAGCCCUGUGCUGGGGAGUAUGGCACCAUCCACUGCCCUGGUGGACUGGGUGGCAUUCUUCCCCAAGGCCCUUACCUUGGGGGCCUCCCUUCCUCUUGGGCACCCCCACCAGUCUCAUCUCUAACGUUCUAUGCAAUGAAAUAUAAACCCUCAAAGACAACUGUUAAUAUUUAAUAAAUUCCAUGUUAUGUAUAAGGAGUCA
rnacentral:lncRNA from 1 species